GAUGAACGCUGGCGGCGUGCCUAAUACAUGCAAGUCGAGCGAAGCGGGGACGGGUGAGUAACACGUGGAUAACCUCCUAUAAGACUGGGAUAACUUCCGGAAACCGGAGCUAAACCGGGUACUUAUAGAUGGAUCUGCGCCGCAUUAGAUAGUUGGUAAGGUAACGGCUUACCAAGGCAACGAUGCAUAGCCGACCUGAGAGGGGGAGCGGCCAAACGGGAAAUGAGAAAAGGUCAAGGCGCGUACGGUAGGGAGAAGGAGGGAAUCGGGCGCAAUGGGUGAAAGCCUGAAGGAGCAAGGCCGGGGCAGUGAGGAGGGAAAAAAGAUAGCAAAACUCUGUUAUUAUUGAGACGGUACCUAUUCAUCAUGCCACGGCUAAUUACGAGCCAGCAGCCGCGGUAAUAC
rnacentral:rRNA from 1 species